CCUACGGGCGGCAGCAGUAGGGAAUCUUCCACAAUGGGCGAAAGCCUGAUGGAGCAACGCCGCGUGGGUGAAGAAGGUCUUCGGAUCGUAAAACCCUGUUGUUAGAGAAGAAAGUUCGUGAGAGUAACUGUUCACGUUUCGACGGUAUCUAACCAGAAAGCCACGGCUAACUACGGACCAGCAGCCGCGGUAAUACGUAGGUGGCAAGCGUUAUCCGGAUUUGUUGGGCGUAAAGGGAACGCAGGCGGUCUUUUAAGUCUGAUGUGAAAGCCUUCGGCUUAACCGGAGUAGUGCAUUGGAAACUGGGAGACUUGAGUGCAGAAGAGGAGAGUGGAACUCCAGGUGUAGCGGUGAAAUGCGUAGAUAUAUGGAAGAACACCAGUGGCGAAAGCGGCUCUCUGGUCUGUAACUGACGCUGAGGUUCGAAAGCGUGGGUAGCAAACAGGAUUAGAUACCCUUGUAGUC
rnacentral:rRNA from 1 species